rnacentral:piRNA from 1 species
UUCUCAAAAUGUUUUAUAACA